GUAGGUGGCAAGCGUUGUCCGGAAUUAUUGGGCGUAAAGCGCGCGCAGGCGGUUCUUUAAGUCUGAUGUGAAAGCCCACGGCUCAACCGUGGAGGGUCAUUGGAAACUGGAGAACUUGAGUACAGAAGAGGAAAGCGGAAUUCCACGUGUAGCGGUGAAAUGCGUAGAGAUGUGGAGGAACACCAGUGGCGAAGGCGGCUUUCUGGUCUGUAACUGACGCUGAGGCGCGAAAGCGUGGGGAGCAAACAGGAUUAGAUACCCUGGUAGUCCACGCCGUAAACGAUGAGUGCUAAGUGUUAGGGGAUUUCCGCCCCUUAGUGCUGCAGCUAACGCGUUAAGCACUCCGCCUGGGAGUACGGCCGCAAGGCUG
rnacentral:rRNA from 1 species